GUAACUCUGGUACGAGUGUUACAAUCGCGUGUUAAUAAAAUAUACUCUGGUGUAGAGUUGUUUACUUCAUCCGGGGUAUUGAUGAAGCUUGCGAGGAGAAAGACAGAUGGACGCCAUUACAUUUUCCAAUAUCGCGGGGAAAGUCAAAGGAUCAACGGAUUUGAAGUUAUUUGAGGAAUCUGACACAGCUAUUGACAACGUGUUUCCCUGGAGUCCCACCCAGCCCGCUGAAGCAGCCUUCCCAGCCCAGACUUCCCAGCCCAGACUUCCCUUCCCAGGCUCAUCAGUCCGAUGGUGCAGAGAUGGCUAAAAGGCCAAAGGAGGAUUCCGGUUGUUCUGGAGAACAGUGCAGGAGGACAGGAAAUAAUGGAGGAGGAGUAUAGGAGAUCCAGCACCUGCACUCAUGGCACGUUUUGAAGAGGCAGCGAAGGACACGAAGGACACACAGGAUCGCCAGCCAUACCUCCUUGCACUUCCAGGGUCCCAUGUGAAGCCCAUCAAUUGGCGAUGGAUUGAUACUGGCACACAGUAGGGCCAGUUACGCUGGUGGGCCUGCCCUGGGCUGGGCUGGACCUAAAGGUACUAACGGUGUUUUCACCGACAGGUGGUUAGAUGCGAAAGGGGGCUGGUGGCCCAGGUUUCGGGGC